AGCCUGCAGAUCAGAGAAAGUGGACAGAAACAGCUCUUCAGCCAAAGAGCCCUACUCUACUCCCUCGACAUCCUCUCAAUGUUUGGCGGCAAAAACGCGGCCACUGAAAACAACAAUGACUGUAUAUAACCACAAAAUGUAUACAGUAUAAUGUAACUAAAUUGUGCUAAAAAUGUUAUGUUAUGUACUGCUAUAUUGUAAACACCUCGGCUUGAAUUAAAACCACAGCAACUACCCCUUACCCUGCUUAGCAAUCUAGCUAGGUCCCGGUCUUUACAGCACUACCCUAGCCGGGACUGAUUUUGACUGGUGGGCACUCAAUUAGACAACCCACCUUGACUUUGGGGAUCUCGUAAUUAUUACAAUUGGCAUGGGAGCACUCAAAGCCAUUGGCGGGUGUGUCAUCCCUGAUGCUGUCAUGCAAGUGUCAUUUUGGAUGAUUAAGUGGACAGGCCACUGAACCCGGAAAAGAAACCAGUCAGUCUGGUGAAUGUAAUAGCCAAAUGCCUUGUUAUCUAAUUAGUGACGCGCAUGAAUGGAUGAACGAGAUUCCCACUGUCCCUACCUACUAUCUAGCCAAACCACAGCCAAGGGAACGGGCUUGGCGGAAUCAGUGGGGAAAAAAGACGCUGUUGAGCUUGACUCUAGUCUGGCACUGUGAAGAGACAUGAGAGGUGUAGAAUAGGAAGGAGGCCCCAUCCCGGGGGCGCCACUGCUGAAAUACCACUAUUCUUAUCGUUUCCUCACUUACCUGGCGAGGUGGGAGGGCGAGUCUCUUGUUUCUGGCACCCGCUGGCCACGGCCCACUCCGGAGACAGUGGCAGGUGGGGAGUUUGACUGGGGCGGUAUACCUCUCAAAUGGUAACGCAGGUAUUCUAAGGCGAGCUCAGGGAGGACAGAAACCUCCCAUGGAGCAGAAGGGCAAAAGCUCGCUUGAUCUUGAUUUUCAGUAUGAAUAUAGACUGCAAAAGUGGGGCCUCAGGAUCCUUCUGACUUUUGGGGUUUCAAGAAGGAGGUGUCAGAAAAGUUACCACUGGAUAACUGGCUUGUGGCGGCCAAGCGUUCAUAGUGACAUUGCUUUUUGAUCCUUCGAUGUCAGCUCUUCCUGUCAUUGAGAAGCAGAAUUCACCAAGCGUUGAAUUGUUCACCCACUAAUAGGGAACGUGAGCUGGGUUUAGACCGUCGUGUUGCUGGGUCUGGGUGUUGUACGUAGUACAGCAGUCACCUCGCUCCAAGCUUUUGUUGCGCUUUUAGACUGAGCGAGGUCCGGUGGUGGCCCGGACCCCCCGCGUGCUCCCGGUGACCCACGGCCUGGGACCAGGCAGCCUAGCCGGUAAGGGAGAAAAUUGAACACAUCCAUUUUGU
rnacentral:rRNA from 1 species